UGACGGUACCUGACUAAGAAGCUCCGGCUAAAUACGUGCCAGCAGCCGCGGUAAUACGUAUGGAGCAAGCGUUAUCCGGAUUUACUGGGUGUAAAGGGAGCGUAGACGGGACAGCAAGUCUGAUGUGAAAGGCGGGGGCUCAACCCCUGGACUGCAUUGGAAACUGCUGACCUUGAGUGCCGGAGAGGUAAGCGGAAUUCCUAGUGUAGCGGUGAAAUGCGUAGAUAUUAGGAGGAACACCAGUGGCGAAGGCGGCUUACUGGACGGUAACUGACGUUGAGGCUCGAAAGCGUGGGGAGCAAACAGGAUUAGAUACCCUG
rnacentral:rRNA from 1 species